ensembl:lncRNA
UCGGUCUCGAGUCUGCCUCCAAUCUUAGAAUCGAUGCGGGAGUUUAUUUGGGAUGAAGCGCUGCUAAAUCCAGCGCUACACAACGCGUCCGCGCUUCAAUGGGUUUUGUUGACUUUGUUUUCCUCUGUUGUCAUCCUCUAUCUCCCUGCUCAUUCUCUCAACCCCCCCUCCCUCCCUCCUUCUCCCUCCAUCUCUCUCGAGCCUCACUGUAUCUCUCUCUCUCUCUAGCAUCUCGCUCUAUUCCUCUUUCUGGCUCUCUAGCAUAAAGUCCCUGUUCAGUUCUUGGCGUUCCUUCCUCCUGCUUGCCGCAGUCUUUAUAUCGAGCCGUGUGUCCGCAUCGAGUCAGUGUUGCGGGCUCCUGGGUGGAUGUGACUGAGGCCGGUGGAGGAACAAACUGACCCGCCGAGAUGACCACCGUGGCCCAGACGCACCACGAGGGGACAGUGCUGACGCCUCCCCAAGUGCGCCACCUGACCAAUAGGAACCCGUCCCCGUCCCGAGCCUUGGCCAGUCCUGGCAGCACUCCGCCAGCAGAGCUGUCGGAGCUCCUGCGUGACAAGGAGCGCCGUGCCGAGCAGCAGCGGGGCCGCUGCGUGGAGGAGCGGGAGAGGAGGCUGGAGGAGCAGCGGAGGAAGGAGUCCAGGCGCCGCGCGGCCGCCGAGGGGAAGAGGAGGCUGCAGCAGGAGGAGGAGAAGGUCAGAGGGCAAAGCCUGGCAACGCCCGGGAGACGUCUCUGAUGUGGGGUUGUUGUACCAGAGGAAUCCGUGAUUCGAGGCCUUUGAUGAAGUGCAGCCGACACAAAAGCAGUCAGACCCCGACCCCACACGCCUGAGUCGGAGUCUGAGUUCCAGUUAGCUGACUUGGACCGGGGAGCGACGCUGAGCAGGACGGCGUUGCCUUAUGGCCGGCUCCACCCAACGUAGCGUCGUAGCGUGGCCUCCGGAGCGAGAGGAGCCUAUAUGCAUCCUGAUCCCUCUGCUGGGGUCUUGAUGCACCCCCGCCUACACCCUCAGCGGACUAAAAUGCUGUCGUAUGCAGGAAUGGGACAGCUAGAAAAUGUCUUUAUAAGCAAAUUUGACAAGAGGGCCUUUUUACUCCCUGCAAUAUGCGUCUUCCACUACUAAUCUAUGGAUUACUGAAUUAAUUGAUAUACAAACAUUCAUACUAUCUUGGACAACACGCAGUUUCUUCACAUUUACAGUUUAUCCCUCUUUAUUCAUAGAGGGACGCGUCAAAGCCCGUAAAAAUAGACUUCAUGUCUAUUUUAGCACUUUGUUGCGUGUUGGCUGCGCAACAGACUGGCUCAGUGUAGCAGCUCGUAUCGAUAAGAGGAGCUUUUCCUUAAGGCACGACGCAACGCUACAUGAUGUGACGCUGCCAUGCCCAGUGUAGCAGGGGGUCAGAUGUAUAUUAAUUUACUUUCAGAGUAAAUGAUUCGGACAAAACAUUAGGUAGUGUAAUACGGGGUGGAUACAUCCCUCUAUGGUACGUUGUUAUGGUUAUUGCACGUUUUUUUAUCCUGUUGUCCAUCACUCUAGGUAACGUUAAACCACUGCUGUACCGUACAGAUAGAGGUCAUGGCCUCUUUUCUUUUGGCUCUAUUUUGUUGAAAAUAUCCGCAACAACAACGUGGUCUUCUUGGAGGCCUCUUAUCAUCAGUUUUAGCAGGGUUGAUACUGAAGUAUAUCAAACCCGAUGGGAUCUGUUGCUAUGUGGGAACCAUUGCUAGCCCUCUCUCUUCAUCACAUGCUAACGUUGUGUUACCAGCCAACCAUGAGCUACUAUCUAACCCUUCACGUCUCUCCAGCUAACUCUCUUUGUAUGGAACUAACUCUCUCAAUGUUAAGCGCUUACUCUCCUCAUAUUACCAGCUGAAUCUAUAUGUGUAAUCUCAUUGUUAUAAUCUAACUUGGCUUCCUUGCUGUUUUUUAUAGUGUUGGGCUGCCUCGCUUUGGUUUAGGAGCUAAAUGUCAUGGUGUUGGGGGCUAAUGCCAACUCUUCUCUUAACAGCUAAAUCUUACUGGGUAACGGCCAACUCCUAAUGUUCCCAGCUAAAUCUCCUUGUGUUAUCAUCGACCUCUUCCUCCCCGCUAACUCUCACUAUGUUGGGCUAACUUGCUCUGGUCCACCAAUGAUAGCUUUCAUAAGCCAUUCGCACACCAGACGAGCCAUGGAGGAAGAUUUAAUUUUAGGUCUAGAUUUGAGGUCUGGUUCUGUGUUUAAUAUGAUGGGUGGCAAUUGAUUGAUUGAUGUGUUGUGUGGUGCAUCAGGGUUUUGAGCAGAGCUCAGUGUGCGACCAUCUAUAUGUCUGCAGGGCUGUAUGUGUGUUUUUCAUUGAUUGGGUGUGUGUAUUUACAUACAAAUACACAGCUCUCCUAAUUUCCAAACCCACUCAUUUGCAUUACUUAAUGACAUAAUGAUUGGCUGGUCUCUCCUGGGAGGCCACAGUGACAUCACUGUGAGGCUGUUAUUGGGACGCUUACUGGAAACCGUAACGUGCACAGUCAUAGAUGAGCACACAUUUAUUACCCGAUACACCUAAGGAUGAAUGUGAAAAUGAUCCAGAGAUGGCCAACAUGAGGGGAUCGUGUAAGGUUCCCAGAGGGACACCCUCAUUAGUAAAUCUCAGAGACAGACUCUUAAUAGUAAUUUAUGGUUAUUUCUUGUGACCCUGAGGUGCGUAUUGAUUGGUGUAUAGAGCGCUGUGUAGAACAGAGCUAACAUUUGAUGCGUUGCAGUAUUAGGCCUGCACCUUGGAUGUUUAUUUGUUCGUCCUAUGCACAUUCACAUUCGUGGAUCAAGCUCUCUUUAUCUAGGUCAAAUCCUUUUGUUUAACACUAUAUAGAUGGAUGCAUGGAAAAUGGAUGGAUGGCCAACCGGAUAACCCUCUCCUCCCAUUACAUGGCUGUUUUCUCUCUCCCUUGCUCUGCUUCUUCAUUAAUUCUGUUCCCCGCCUUAUCGAUUCCACGCCAACGCUCCAUCUCCCCCAGCCCCCUCCUACUUCCUUCCCUAUCCCCCUGUGACUCCAUACAUUGUCAUCCCUAGCUUUCCCAACACACACACACAAACACACACACAAAUAAACACACACACACACACACACACACACACACACACACACACACACACACACACACACACACACACACACACACACACACACACACACACACACACACACACACACAGAUGCACCCUAGGCGUGUCUGCUGUAGAGGAGAAGGGAGAGAGGAGGGAGGAGGGAGGGUGCUUCUGUUACGGACCAUGACACUGAAAAUAUGAGUUGAUGUAGAAUAGGUGAUGCAGAGAGAAAAGGCAGAGAGAGAGAGAGGGGGGGAGAGAGCGAUGAAGAGGAAAUGGGAGAGUGGGAGACAAAGAGUUCAGCUUGCUAAGCCCCACCAUCACAGCCCAGCUGACUUCUCCUCUCAGUCUUUUGAAAGGCACUAGAUCACAUAGAAUGUGCCUUUAAUCCCCAGCCUGACUCACAGGAGUUCAGAAAUGGAUUUAGAUGUCUUCGAGGGCUGCACCAUUAUGACAAAAAUAAUAAUUAUUAUUUUGCCAGAUAUUUGUGAUUUUGGUUCAUUGUGAAGAGCAGAUUUUCAAUUAAAUAAAUAAUCAGUUGCUAUUGUAUGCAAAUAUUAUAAUAAUGAAGCAAUUGCUUAAUUGUAACAGUUUACAAAGUCAUUUACGGCCAUACAAAAACAAAUUUCUAAUUAUUAUUUUAUCCAAAUUGCGACCUUUCACAAUUUCUUAAUUGCAGAGCCCAAAUAUGCAUUUAUUAUUAAACCCAACUGCCAUUCACAUCAGAUGAAUCACCAAUACAUUCUUGAACUAAUCACUGUGUUAUGUAUUUCCUUUGAGAUGUAGAUCUGUGUUUUAAUGUAGGAUAUGUAGCAUGACGUUACCUUAAACGAUGCAAAUAGGUGCACACCAGUAUCCCUGUCUCUGUCUUUGUCUGUUCUGUGCAUCGUCACAGAGAAGCAUCGUUAGAGGAGAUGAGAGGAGAGGGAGGUAGAGGAGAGGAGAGGAAGCUAGAGGAGAGGAGAGGAAGGUAGAGGAGAGGAGAGGAAGGUAGAGGAGAGGAGAGGAGAGGAGAGGAGACGGGAGAGGAGGAAUAUAAGAGAGAGGAAACAAGAAAAUAAUGACCCGCUUGUAUUAUUUUACCAUUUUUAGAAGUGUAUAUAAUCGUCUCCUCUCUGGAGACAAUAAUAAUCCUAUAAUAAUACAAUUUGGUCAUUAUUUUCUUGUAGGAGGAGGAGGAUAAGGGAGAUCGAAAGAAAAGGAAUGGGAGAGGAUGGGAGAAGGGGGAAUCCAGGGUUAAACUGGAGAUGUCGUGUAGUAGUGGUGGAGAUCGGAGGAGAGGAAACAAAAGGAGAAGGCAGACGAGGAGGGAGGAGGUGUAGGGGAACAGAGCGACGUGAAAGGGAACCUUGGGGCGCAAACGAAUGUCGUAUUGAUACCCUCUUCUGCACACCAACGUAUUCACACAUGCAAUGACGUAACCCUGCACGUACAUGUGUGUUCGUGCGUCGAUGCAUGCAGCCAUACUCCCCCCUACUAUAUGCGCCUUUGUGUGUGUGUGUGUGUGUCUAUGCGUUUCCUGUGUGUGUGUGUGUGUGUGUGUGUGUGUGUGUGUGUGUGUGUGUGUGUGUGUGUGUGUGUGUGUGUGUGUGUGUGUGUGUGUGUGUGUGUGUGUGUGUGUGUGUGUGGUAUUGGCUGUGAUCGACUGGCGUGGCUUGGUGAGGCACGGUGUGUAGAUCCAUCCCUCUUUCUGAGUGCUCUCUGAAAUAGCCUCAGUCACCAGAGAGUAAGAGAGAUAGACCUGUGUGUGUGUGUGUGUGUGUGCGUGCCUGCAUGUAUGUGUGCGUGAGUUUUCUCUGUGUUAGAGAGGUGGAAGGGAGCAAAAGGGAGGAGACUAGCAAGGGUGGGGUGAACAAUUGUAGAGGUGAGAGAGAGAGACAGUGAGUGUGAUGGAGAGAGAGAGAGAGAGAGAGAGAGAGAGAGAGAGAGAGAGAGAGAGAGAGGGGGGCUGUGUUACUAGAGGGAGUGGCAGAGUGAGAAGAGGCGAUACAGAGAGAGAGAGAGAGAGAAGACACAGCUCCGGUAGCUCAGUCGUUGUUGAUCGUCGGAUAAAGCAGACAUUGCAGUGGGAGCAGCGGCAAGCGAAGGGAAACCAAGAGAGACAGCGAGGGAGGUAGAGAGAGAGCAGGCGACAAAAGGACGCUGGGGCGAGGCUGCUGCGGAUGCAUGCGGUAACCAUGGCGCAGCCGUCUCCGUGCGCGUCGCCGUGCACCCGUCGCCGUAGCGAUGGCUCGGUGAGAGAAUGUCUGUUCUUCCCCGUUCUGGAACGGAACGAGCAGGAGCGGCUGGAGGCGCUGGUCCGCCGGCGGGCGGGGGGCGCGGCGGACAAGAGGGGCCGCGGCGCCGGGGAGGCCGGCCGGGACCCCCCGGAGAACCGCCCAAGAGAUGGACCUGGGGGACCCCGGACGGAGCCGAGGUGAGUG